CUUUUCCCUGGACCUCUACUCUCAAAUGCCUCAGGCCAGACCUGCGGAGGGAGUUGAGGCGAGAAGCGUACCUUUUACUAGAUUUGUAUUCUGCGGAUCCCCACCAUAGCACCAGUCGGGCAUACUUAACCAGAAAAAAAAUUACCUGAGGUCAACCUCAAUCCGGAAGCGCAAUCCUUCAAUCCUUCUUCUGAUGAAUUAUUAGAAGGUCAGUAGUCACCUAACACCAUGUGACGAUGCCUGCACCAUUCAUGUCACUUUUUCUCAUCACACAGGCAUUUUGCCAUCUCGUCAUCACAAAAAGAAGGGUUCCAUAUUAGCAACGGGAUCAUCUUUUUGUCUUGGGUCCCACACCUUCACAGUUCCUGUUGUGCGUACAACUUCUUUCAAGCCCUCAAUGAGAACUGUCAUCAUUCAACUUGGAACUCUAUGUCCUGAGCCCACUUAGUGAAUCUUGGAGAUAAUCCAUAUAGGACCUCUGCCAUGACUUACCAGCCCCUGCCCACCCUGACCCCACCUGCCUAGGCCACGGAAGUCCCUCCUGGAGUCUGCUGCUGCCUUCAACCCUGGGAACUCUGGGCAAUGUGGAAUCGGAUGAGGCCGCUACCUGAUGCCUGCCAACAGCAUACUCUAGCCCUCUAUUCUCCCAUUUACUGUAGGCCUCAACAGGGCAAAACUAUUCCUCUUCCUUAAUCUCUUAUAAACUGUAAGUUCUGUGUGUAUAAAAGUAAUAUGUGUUCCCUAUAAAAAUUCAAACAAAACAAAAAACUGAACAUCAAAAAGUGAGUUUCCCUUUGAUGCUCCCCAGUAAUCCCCAUCCUUCUAGACCUUUUUCUACACAUUUACAAGCAUAUAUAAGGUUUGCUUUAAUACAAGGAGGCCCAUAAUAUAUUUUCCUUUGACUUUUUUUUUUUUUUGACGUAACAAUAUUCUGGAUAUACUUUUUUCUCUCCACAGAGUUCUCCAGUUUCUAGGGGAUUUCUUCUUGUAACCUUUCAGCUCCUGGGCCAAUCUUCAUCCCUCCUACUAGGUUUAGCCUGUUUCAUAUAAUUUAAAAAAUAAUUUCCCCGACACUUCCAAUGUUUGGCUGGGCACUUCCAUAUGGAGUACACAUAGCAAUUUUCAAAGAAAAAGGAAAUAAAAUUCACUUCACACAAACUAUAACUAAACUUCUCUUUCAUGAGUCAAAAGAUAUUAUAUAGUACAGAACUUUGGAAACUCCCAACCUGUUGAGUCUUCUCACUGUUUGGGAUCCGGAAAAAUUAACAGUUACUAUGUAGCCAGUUCUACAAAAAAGCAUUCAUAGCCUCCUUGGAACUGCCCAGUAAUCAAAAGCAGCCAUCUGUAAUAACAUCGUUCCAAAAGACCACAUUGAUGAGAAGCACAAAAUCACAGAAUCAUUUUUUUCUUUGCAAUGCAUAUGGGGUCCGAGAUAGUUCAGUUAUUCAGAAAACUGUUAUUCAUUUUAGUUAUUUUUUCAAUUUUAUAAGAGUCAUCUUAUAACGCAGAAACACCAAGAAUCAAAAUUUUGUCAAUUUAACAAAGUAGUUUCCAACAACAGAUCACUUAUGCCAACUGAUGAAAUAGACACCAACUCCUUCCUCCGUUUGUCUCGCACUGGGCCUGGGUGUGCCAAGCAAGAGGUCACCAGGCAUAGCUCCCACGGUCAGAGGUACAGGGUGAAGAUGGGCCUCUCAGGUAAGCAGCAGGAUGGACAGGAAUACGGUUCCAGAGAGUCAGAGGGUUAGGAGCUGUGGGGAGGGUGCAGCACGUAUUCAUUUAACUCUCUAAGAAAAUUCUUCUGAGACCUGGGAAGAGCGGUCUCCCCUUUUCUCCUCUUCUACCACCUAAAGCACUCCACUUCCCACAAUUCCACUAUCCCCUGAGGUCUCUGAUGGGGUAUCUCUUCUUCCUAAGCAACAGAAGAGUUUUACCAUAAAAGCUAACCUCUAUUUUUCAGUCCCUAUAGUACAUAGUUCUUUGAAGAUUUUACUGCUGGUAAUAAAAAACUGGGAAGCAAAAACUUUCCUCCCUAUGUGAUUUCUUUAUGUAACUUUCACCAUUUAACCCUUUGGAGCAGAGAAUCUAAAACCAUGCUCCUGGAACACACUGAUCUUCCGGUACCGAAAUAAAUUUACACACUCA